CUCUUUUGGUACCUAAUUUCUGUUUUUCUGAUUUUUUUUUUCCGGGUAUGGGGCUAGGGGGGCCAUUCGCAAAACAAUUGUUAUUAUUCGGAUUUUUAUUAUUAAAUAAUAAUAUGGAAAAAAUUAAUGAAGUUUUGUUGGACUCUGUAACAACUAGUUGGAGUGGUUGAUCUGUUCAUUUACAUGAUAAUGUAUACUCAGAUGCAUCUUGUAAUAUGGUUGGAGUGUAUAAUCCGUCUUUUUUGACAAAAUGGUUACUCUGAUGUAUUUUGUAAUGUGUUAAAAUAUUUUUUAUACUAAUUUCUCUCUGUUUUUUAAAAAAGCAUUUUAACAUUAUUUUGUAAAAUUUUCAUAAUUUUUUUUUUCAGGUUCAUUGCAGAGGGCGGGGGGCAGUAUACGCCCUCUUCCAUCAAAGCAAUCUAUACACCACUAGUUACUCUUUGUUAUAGUGUUGAAAUAUAUAUUUUUGUUUUUUAUAAUAGAUUUAAUUAUUUUAGUAAAGAUUGUAUUAAUUAAAAGAAUGAAAUUUUGAUAGGGUGUGUUAAACCUUCCCCAAAACCCAACACCCAACUUUAAGAUAAACCUGUAAUAUUUGCUAGUGAUGUGGAAUAAAUAAUAACUUGUUGUAUUUAUAUAUUACUAAUUUUAUAAAGAAAACACUAUUUAAAAAAAAAAAAUUGUAUUUUUGUGAGGUGUAGGUGGCAGAUUAGCACCCUUCUGUAUCCCUCCAUGCGCUCUUUAUCUAGACACUAGUUUGAAAUUAUAGCCCGUUUUUACAUCUAUCUUUUGAUACUAAGUUAUAGAUAUUUAAAUAAGAAUUGUCAAAGUUAUAAUAAUUUAUGUAGAAAAAAAAAAUUUUUUUGACCACAGUUUUAUCAAGAAAUCCACAUAUUGAAAAAUUGCUACUAAAAACGUUAUAUUUUUUUUAUAGAAUUGUCUAAUUUUCAUAAUUUUUCAACCUUUAAAAUACUGUAUUUGAGGGCUUUCCAAUGAUAUAUAGCAUUCUAGUAUUGGAUCAAGUUAAAAAAAUCAGUCCAC